GCCCAGGUGUGAUAGCUCAGUCAGUAUCAGUCAGCAUGAGACUCUUAAUCUCAGGGUUGUGGGUUUGAGCCCCACGUUGGGCG